rnacentral:tRNA from 1 species
GCCCCUGUAUCCGUGCGGGCCUUCUAUCCCGACAACGGUAGCGGAUUACGCUGGUUCGAUUCCAGCCAGGGGCUCCA